ACUCCUGCGGGAGGCAGCAGUGGGGAAUUUUGGACAAUGGGCGAAAGCCUGGUCCAGCCAUGCCGCGUGCAGGAUGAAGGCCUUCGGGUUGUAAACUGCUUUUGUACGGAACGAAACGGCCUUUUCUAAUAAAGAGGGCUAAUGACGGUACCGUAAGAAUAAGCACCGGCUAACUACGUGCCAGCAGCCGCGGUAAUACGUAGGGUGCAAGCGUUAAUCGGAAUUACUGGGCGUAAAGCGUGCGCAGGCGGUUAUGUAAGACAGUUGUGAAAUCCCCGGGCUCAACCUGGGAACUGCAUCUGUGACUGCAUAGCUAGAGUACGGUAGAGGGGGAUGGAAUUCCGCGUGUAGCAGUGAAAUGCGUAGAUAUGCGGAGGAACACCGAUGGCGAAGGCAAUCCCCUGGACCUGUACUGACGCUCAUGCACGAAAGCGUGGGGAGCAAACAGGAUUAGAUACCCCAGUAGUCCCAUGAU
rnacentral:rRNA from 1 species